ensembl:Mt_tRNA
UGGUAAGUAGUUUAAGUAAAACAAAUGAUUUCGACUCAUUAAAUUAUGAUAAUCAUACUAACCAA